UACGAAGGGGGCGAGCGUUGUUCGGAAUUACUGGGCGUAAAGGGCGCGCAGGCGGCUCUGAAAGUCAGAUGUGAAAGCCCCGGGCUUAACCUGGGAAUUGCAUUUGAUACUCUGGAGCUUGAGUACGGGAGAGGAGAGUGGAAUUCCCAGUGUAGAGGUGAAAUGCGCAGAUAUCAGGAGGAACACCGGUGGCGAAGGCGGUUCUCUGGGCCUUACCUGACACUGAGGAGCGAAAGCGUGGGGAGCGAACAGG
rnacentral:rRNA from 1 species